UACAGGGGGUGCAAACGUUGCUCGGAAUCAUUGGGCGUAAAGCGCACGUAGGCGGUUCGUUAUGUCGGAUGUGAAAGCCCUUGGCUUAACCGAGGAAGUGCAUCCGAAACUGGCGAGCUAGAGUACGAAAGAGGAUCGCGGAAUUCCCGGUGUAGAGGUGAAAUUCGUAGAUAUCGGGAGGAACACCGGUGGCGAAGGCAGCCCCCUGGGUCAAGAUUGACGCUCAGGCACGAAAGCGUGGGGAGCAAACAGG
rnacentral:rRNA from 1 species